UACGGGGGGGGCAAGCGUUGUUCGGAAUUACUGGGCGUAAAGGGCUUGUAGGCGGCCAACUAAGUCAGACGUGAAAUCCCUCGGCUUAACCGGGGAACUGCGUCUGAUACUGGAUGGCUUGAGAUUGGGAGAGGGAUGCGGAAUUCCAGGUGUAGCGGUGAAAUGCGUAGAUAUCUGGAGGAACACCGGUGGCGAAGGCGGCAUCCUGGACCGAGAUUGACGCUGAGGCGCGAAAGCCAGGGGAGCAAACGGG
rnacentral:rRNA from 1 species